UUAAGUAGUAUCUUCCACUUGAAAAAAGAGUCUCUUUUGUCGUGCAAUCCAACAGUGUAUAUGUUUUAAGGUAUUUCACCUACUCCCUCACCAAACCAACAUUGUUGCUGCUGGCGGACUUCACAAGGGACAUUCAUUCUCAUUACAUAUACAAACGUCCGCCCUCUUCCGUUCCAGAUCUUCAAAAUGCAGUCCGCCGCUUUCACUCUCUCCCCUUCUCUCCCUCUCCGAAAUCUCAACCGCCAAAACACCAACCGUUUAACUCGCUCCUCCACUAACCUCCGUCUCUCCGCCAAAUUAAACGACGCCGUAAAUCCCAAUGGCGCCUCCUCUUCUUCCUCCUCCUCCUUCACUCGUAAAUCAUGGUCUAUUUCUCCUUCUUCAUCUUCCUCCUCUUCUUUCAAAUUCAGACCUCUCCCUCUCCUUUCCACCUCCGAUCUUUCUCCUCCUAAAGCCACAUCCGAAAGCGCCGCUGAAUCUGCUGAUUCCGGUUCUUUGCUCAAAACUCUUCAACUUGGAUCCUUGUUCGGAUUGUGGUACCUCUUCAAUAUCUACUUCAAUAUCUACAAUAAACAGGUUUUGAAGGCGUGCCAUUUCCCUGUAACUGUUACUGUAGUUCAAUUUGCUGUUGGGACUGUUCUUGUAUCAGUUAUGUGGGCUCUUAAUCUCUACAAGAGACCUAAAAUCAAUGGCGCCAUGCUUGCAGCUAUAUUUCCACUAGCUAUUGUGCAUACUUUGGGGAACCUUUUCACUAAUAUGAGUCUUGGAAAGGUGGCUGUGUCUUUUACUCACACUAUUAAAGCUAUGGAGCCUUUCUUUUCGGUUAUCCUUUCUGCCAUGUUUCUUGGAGAGAGACCUACACCUUGGGUGAUUGGUUCCCUUGUUCCUAUUGUUGGUGGAGUUGCUCUGGCGUCUGUUACGGAGGCGUCUUUCAAUUGGGCUGGAUUUUGGAGUGCAAUGGCUUCCAAUGUGACAAACCAAUCACGUAAUGUUCUUAGCAAAAAGGUCAUGGUUAAACAAGAGGAAUCCUUGGACAACAUAACUCUCUUCUCUAUAAUAACAAUAAUGUCAUUCUUCUUGUUAGCACCUGCUGCUAUCUUCAUGGAGGGUGUCAAAUUCACCCCUGCUUACCUGCAAUCUGCUGGAUUAAAUGUUAGACAAGUGUACACCAGAUCUCUUCUUGCUGCACUCUGUUUCCAUGCAUAUCAACAAGUUUCUUACAUGAUAUUGCAGAGGGUAUCACCUGUUACCCAUUCCGUCGGUAAUUGUGUGAAGCGUGUUGUGGUUAUUGUGAGCUCUGUCAUCAUCUUCAAAACACCUGUCUCGCCUGUGAAUGCUUUAGGUACUGCUGUUGGUCUUGCUGGUGUUUUCCUCUACUCAAGGGUGAAGCGAAUUAAGUCAAAGCCAAAGGCAGUUUAACUUUUUCAAUGGUAAAUUUUUGCUAGUUGCAUUACAAAAUGCCAAAAUGCCAAAUAGCUGCAAAAUCUGAAUUCCUUCCUAGAUUUACCUACAUGGUCAUUUUUCCACCUCUCAGCUCACAAUUUGACUCAAACCAACAAAAAGGUUGCAAUAUUAGGCGAAAAUUCAUAUACAGAAGCAUGUUAAUUUUGAUUUGAUAAUAGAACAGAGACCUUAUUUGUUAUUUUGGUGUCAUUUUUUAUGGAUAGAAUUUAAUGUAUUAUUUUUGUAUCGAUCAUGUAAUUUGCUUUUUUGAACGGAAAUGUUUUCAAAUUUGUUUAUUAGUGGAUGUGAAAUGAAAGUUAGUCUGUAACCGUGGAAUAAUAUUUUCAGAUAUGAAAGACGUACGUCACAUUAAAGAUAAAGAAUUA